rnacentral:rRNA from 1 species
GACAGAGGGUGCAAACGUUGUUCGGAAUUACUGGGCGUAAAGCGAGUGUAGGCGGUCUCAUAAGUCAGGUGUGAAAGCCCUGGGCUCAACCUAGGAAGUGCACUUGAAACUGCGAGGCUAGAGUAUCGGAGAGGUUGGUGGAAUUCUCGGUGUAGAGGUGAAAUUCGUAGAUAUCGAGAGGAACACCGGUGGCGAAGGCGGCCAACUGGACACGUAUUGACGCUGAGGUGCGAAAGCGUGGGGAGCAAACAGG